GACCAGACUCCUACGGGAGGCAGCAGUGGGGAAUAUUGGACAAUGGGGGGAACCCUGAUCCAGCGACGCCGCGUGAGUGAAGAAGUAUUUCGGUAUGUAAAGCUCUAUCAGCAGGGAAGAAAGAAAUGACGGUACCUGACUAAGAAGCCCCGGCUAACUACGUGCCAGCAGCCGCGGUAAUGCGUAGGGGGCAAGCGUUAUCCGGAUUUACUGGGUGUAAAGGGAGCGUAGGUGGCAUGGCAAGCCAGAAGUGAAAACCCGGGGCUUAACCCCGCGGAUUGCUUUUGGAACUGUCAGGCUGGAGUGCAGGAGGGGCAGGCGGAAUUCCUGGUGUAGCGGUGAAAUGCGUAGAUAUCAGGAGGAACACCGGUGGCGAAGGCGGCCUGCUGGACGAUGACUGACGUUGAGGCUCGAAAGCGUGGGGAGCAAACAGGAUUAGAUACCCUCGUAC
rnacentral:rRNA from 1 species